rnacentral:rRNA from 1 species
GAUGAACGCUGGCGGCGUGCCUAAUACAUGCCAGUCGAGCGAACGGACGAGAAGCUUGCUUCUCUGGUGUUAGCGGCGGACGGGUGAGUAACACGUGGAUAACCUACCUAUAAGACUGGGAUAACUUCGGGAAACCGGAGCUAAUACCGGAUGAUAUUUUGAACCGCAUGGUUCAAAAGUGAAAGACGGUCUUGCUGUCACUUAUAGAUGGAUCCGCGCUGCAUUAGCUAGUUGGUAAGGUAACGGCUUACCAAGGCAACGAUGCAUAGCCGACCUGAGAGGGUGAUCGGCCACACUGGAACUGAGACACGGUCCAGACUCCUACGGGAGGCAGCAGUAGGGAAUCUUCCGCAAUGGGCGAAAGCCUGACGGAGCAACGCCGCGUGAGUGAUGAAGGUCUUCGGAUCGUAAAACUCUGUUAUUAGGGAAGAACAUAUGUGUAAGUAACUGUGCACAUCUUGACGGUACCUAAUCAGAAAGCCACGGCUAACUACGUG